rnacentral:rRNA from 1 species
CAGUCGCCGCGGUAAUACGUAGGGUGCAAGCGUUAAUCGGAAUUACUGGGCGUAAAGCGUGCGCAGGCGGUUUUGUAAGACAGAGGUGAAAUCCCCGGGCUCAACCUGGGAACUGCCCUUGUGACUGCAAGGCUGGAGUGCGGCAGAGGGGGAUGGAACUCCGCGUGUAGCGGUGAAAUGCGUAGAUAUGCGGAGGAACACCGAUGGCGAAGGCAAUCCCCUGGGCCUGCACUGACGCUCAUGCGCGAAAGCGUGGGGAGCAAACAGGAUUAGAUACCCCCGUAGUCCCUGUCUCUUAUAC